rnacentral:rRNA from 1 species
UACAGAGGUGGCAAGCGUUGUUCGGAAUUAUUGGGCGUAAAGGGCGCGUAGGCGGUUUGCUAAGUCAGUUGUGAAAGCCCGGGGCUCAACCCCGGAGGGUUGGCUGAUACUGGUGGACUAGAGUACGGAAGAGGUAGCUGGAAUUCCCGGUGUAGCGGUGAAAUGCGUAGAGAUCGGGAGGAAUACCGGUGGCGAAAGCGACUCUCUGGACGGCAACUGACGCUGAGGCACGAAAGCGUGGGGAGCAAACAGG